CAAGCGUUAUCCGGAUUUAUUGGGUUUAAAGGGUGCGUAGGCGGUUUGAUAAGUUAGAGGUGAAAUUUCGGGGCUCAACCCUGAACGUGCCUCUAAUACUGUUGAGCUAGAGAGUAGUUGCGGUAGGCGGAAUGUAUGGUGUAGCGGUGAAAUGCUUAGAGAUCAUACAGAACACCGAUUGCGAAGGCAGCUUACCAAACUAUAUCUGACGUUGAGGCACGAAAGCGUGGGGAGCAAACAGGAUUAGAUACCCUGGUAGUCCACGCAGUAAACGAUGAUAACUCGUUGUCGGCGAUACACAGUCGGUGACUAAGCGAAAGCGAUAAGUUAUCCACCUGGGGAGUACGUUCGCAAGAAUGAAACUCAAAGGAAUUGACGGGGGCCCGCACAAGCGGAGGAACAUGUGGUUUAAUUCGAUGAUACGCGAGGAACCUUACCCGGGCUUGAAAGUUAGCGACGAUUCUUGAAAGAGGAUUUCCCUUCGGGGCGCGAAACUAGGUGCUGCAUGGUUGUCGUCAGCUCGUGCCGUGAGGUGUCGGGUUAAGUCCCAUAACGAGCGCAACCCCUACCGUUAGUUGCCAUCAGGUGAAGCUGGGCACUCUGGCGGGACUGCCGGUGUAAGCCGAGAGGAAGGUGGGGAUGACGUCAAAUCAGCACGGCCCUUACGUCCGGGGCUACACACGUGUUACAAUGGGGGGUACAGAAGGCAGCUACACGGCGACGUGAUGCUAAUCCCAAAAACCUCUCUCAGUUCGGAUCGAAGUCUGCAACCCGACUUCGUGAAGCUGGAUUCGCUAGUAAUCGCGCAUCAGCCAUGGCGCGGUGAAUACGUUCCCGGGCCUUGUACACACCGCCCGUCAAGCCAUGGGAGCCGGGGGUACCUGAAGUGCGUAACCGCGAGGAGCGCCCUAGGGUAAAACUGGUGACUGGGGCUAAGUCGUAACAAGGUAGCCGUACCGGAAGGUGCGGCUG
rnacentral:rRNA from 1 species